UACGUAGGUGGCGAGCGUUGUUCGGAUUUAUUGGGCGUAAAGGGUCUGUAGGAGGUUUCUUAAAUACGGGGUGAAAUCCGGGAGCUCAACUCCCGAACUGCCCUGUAGACUGGGAAACUAGAGUAUUGGAGAGGUAAGCGGAAUACCAAGUGUAGCGGUGGAAUGCGUAGAUAUUUGGUAGAACACCAAGAGCGAAGGCAGCUUACUGGACAAAGACUGACUCUGAGAGACGAAAGCGUGGGGAGCAAAC
rnacentral:rRNA from 1 species